UCCAGGAAUGCUCUGGAAAGGGUGGGACUCGGUUUAUAUAGUUCUGACGUUUUUCGCGUCACCACUGGCUCGCGCUUGCGCGCGUACUUACACAAAAUGGAGUUGAAGAUCACGCGGUCUUCUAGAAACGACCUUCUGUGUGUGUUCAAGGACGAGCCCAUCCCCCACUCCGGUUUCCGGUUACUUUACGUGAUUUCUAUGCAAAGCUAAUCAUUAAUCUAUAGGAUUUUUUUUAAAUGAAAAUGACGUAAGAAUUCCAUCUACAUCACUUUACAAUAAUCUAGCCCUAUUCGUUUAUGCAAAUUCAAGAACUAGUUAUUGUAAGACAGAUUCAGCCUUUAUGUAAAUCACUGUCACGCUGUUAUGUUUAAAGUGUGUUUUCAAAUGUAACAUUCAUUCAUUUAAACGAUCAUUUAUAGAACAAUAAGUGAUAUACCUAUGACAAAAAUACAAAACAUUGGGACACAAUGCAAGAACUAGCUGCCAACACGAGGGUUCAUUUCUUUCAGGAAACGUUUCACAUAAAAAUACAUUUUACAUUGAUUUCUGUCUUGAAAUAUUUGACUAGGUAAACUGUAUGAAUUCAUUUAAAACGAUCUCUUUAAAACUGAAAAAAGUGAGACCCGUGAACGCGCACUUCCGUCACAGUGCACUUUAACCUCUCUCAACAACUUCCUAUGAUACAAAGACGCAAUGGCAGCCUCCUUAAAACGCACUGAAAUAUUUAUCUGCCGCACAUUUCCCGUAAUUUUACAUCGAAAUAUUCAAGCACAGGUUGGUUGGUUGCAGACAAAAUAUUUUAAUUGAUGCUUAUAUAUCCUGUAUAAGUAAACAUGCAUGCUGUUGUCCGCUCAUUUCGCGUGCAAACAUCCUCAACAUAAAGGACACAUUACUCGUUUUGUAUUGCAGAGAUCUGUGAUUGUAAAAUAACUGCUCCAGUGCUGGGUCUAAAUGUUCGUGCUUUAUCAUCUUCAUCAUCUGCUGAUGACACAGAUGUGCUGUCUAGAUAUUCAGACAGACCAUGGGAAUACAUAGAAAUUGAAGAGUACACUGAGCAAUAUGGAUCAAAGCCUGUGUAGUCUAACUAAAGGAGGAACCAUAAGGGGGGCGUCCCUCCUCAAAACACAAGAAAGACCUGUAUGAGAGGUGAUAAUAUAUGCGGCAAACCAUGUCCCAUCUGUCGUGAUCCAAACAUCAUUGUCCAUUACAAGAAUGUGAACCUGUUGCAGCAGUUCAUUAGUCCUCAAACAGGAAUAGUGUAUGAUUCCACUCAAACUGGUGUGUGUAUAAAAACAACAGAAACUACUUAACAAGGCCAUUGAAACUGCUAGAGAUUGUGGCUUAGUUUCUGCCCAGGUACCUCAUGUUGAUUACUUUAAAGAGGACUACUCAAACACUCAUGGUGCUGUAGCACUGACUCCUGCCCCAUCUUCUCUACGCUCUUGAGAACUGUGCCAUCUGUGGUAUGGAAGUAUAAAACCAGAUGAGCGAGAACUGGAAAGAGUGAAGUGGAUCUACAAAGACUACCUGAAACCAAACGUUUGAAUCCUGUUGUAAAAGACCUUAGGCAGAGCAGUUGCUGUGUAUUUGACACAAGAGAGAGGCAGUUAGGAAUAGACUUCAACAAUGGCAGAUCCUUCAUUUUAAAACUCAUUUAUGGCGUUAUGUCUACUGUAAGAUUUUUUGGAAAAACAUUUAAUCAAAUGAAAAAUCUGUAUUUUGUCAAACAGCAGAACUGAUUAAACGCAGUGUACUUCU